rnacentral:rRNA from 1 species
GUGAGGAAUAUUGGUCAAUGGGCGAGAGCCUGAACCAGCCAAGUCGCGUGAAGGAAGAAGGAUCUAUGGUUCGUAAACUUCUUUUGCAGGGGAAUAAAGUGCGGGACGUGUCCUGUUUUGUAUGUACCCUGAGAAUAAGGAUCGGCUAACUCCGUGCCAGCAGCCGCGGUAAUACGGAGGAUCCGAGCGUUAUCCGGAUUUAUUGGGGUUAAAGGGUGCGUAGGUGGUUUGAUAAGUCAGCGGUGAAAGUUUGCAGCUUAACUGUAAAAAUGCCGUUGAAACUGUCGGACUUGAGUGUAAAUGAGGUAGGCGGAAUGCGUGGUGUAGCGGUGAAAUGCAUAGAUAUCACGCAGAACUCCGAUUGCGAAGGCAGCUUACUAAGCUACAACUGACACUGAAGCACGAAAGCGUGGGGAUCAAACAGGAUUAGAAACCCCGGUAGUCC